GUCUACGGCCAUACCACCCUGAACGCGCCCGAUCUCGUCUGAUCUCGGAAGCUAAGCAGGGUCGGGCCUGGUUAGUACUUGGAUGGGAGAAAUGGGUCUAAUUACU
rnacentral:rRNA from 1 species